rnacentral:rRNA from 1 species
UGCUUGGUGACCAUAGCGAACGUGAACCACCCGAUCCCAUCCCGAACUCGGAAGUGAAACCGUUUAGCGCCGAUGAUAGUGUGGCAGUUUGCCAUGCGAAAGUAGGGAAUUGCCAAGCUC